rnacentral:tRNA from 1 species
GGGCGGUUAGCUCAGUUGGAUAGAGUACAGGCCUCCGAAGCCUGGGGUCGGGGGUUCGAAUCCCCUGCCGCCCGCCA